UUGUUCUCCUCCCUUCUUCAUUCAUAGAAACAGCAAGUGAGCGAGAAAAUCUCGAACAAAACUCCUAUCGAUUUUCCUUCCUUGGCGAGUGGGGUUUCUCCAUCGUUUAAUCCACCACCGAGUGAACUCCCCACACCCAGAGCCCCACUAUCAUUCUCGGAUCCAGUAUUUUGGAAGAGGAGCGCCACCCCGAUCCAUCUACCAGCAUUUCGUUCUUGGCAGAAGCCCUUCCCCGAUUUUAGCUCGAGUAGCGAGAUGCAGGCAGAUCCGCGAUCUAACAGAGUGUCAUGGAUGCCAUAUGGUUCAAGUAGAUGGUAUGAUAUUUUAUUAUUGGAACCCGGUUGCUGAGAUGAUGGCUACCAGGUAAGUGUAGAGGUAAACCGGUGUAGAAGACCCGGGUUCGAUGCCGAAGGGUUCAAUCAACAAGGACUUUUAUGCAAAAAUCUUGCUCUUUAAGUAGCCUUUGUUCUGGUUCGCUAGCUCACUAAAACAACUUAGACCAGUCGGUUAGGGCCUCGGUUUCCCAAAGCAUACGUUUCGGGUUCGAUUCUUGCCAAUGCUACUUGUAAGGCAAAAAAUGUUCGAAUAAGUUCCUCUUGCCUGCUCCGAUACCAUGUGGUUAUUAUUGUUAUGACGGUUGAUACAUGGUUAAAUGUAUGAGUUUAUCGUGACAAUUUGUGGCAGCGUCGUGGCCCUGCGCGCUGACGUGGUCUUGUUCACUCCCACAUCUAUUUGAUGAUCUCGCGAAAUCUCUCUCCUCGUGUCCCUGCAUUCGAAGUUUUCUCCCGGUCGAGAACUUUGUCUGGCCUCUCGAAAAUGAGCAACGGGGUUCCACGAUUCCGGAGAGUGAGGUAUGCUUGUCUUUUAUUGUGAUGCCUUUUUUUUGUUUGUUUCUUUUUCCUCCAGAGAUGAGAUGGUCCAGAAGAAAUGCAUAGAAAUAUUUUCUUCUAUCAGCUAGCUGGUGCUAGCUUGGAGGACCUAAGAAAACGGCUGCAAUGCAGAAUUCUCCAGCAUGCACUAGUUCAAAAUCAGCCGGCACCAUGAGGGAACACAGCUCAGGUCUCUAAGCCAAGAGACCUGGGCAAAUCUCUUAUUAUAAGACCUUGCAUCAUGAGAUGCAAUUGAUUUAUAACUACUGUUCGAGGAUUAGGAUUAUUAUGGAGCUGGAGAGGGGCACAACUCAUCGUCGCAGGUGAGUUUGAGAUUCUGGAACAGGUUGAGCUCGCAGCCGCAGGUCUCAGCGAUGUCGAUCAGGAGCUGGCAGCACUUGUCGCCUUGAAUUGGAACACGGCAAGCUUCAGGAAGCAUGACGUUGAGGCAAUCGAUUACUGGAGCAGCAGAAGAAGCCUGUUUGAUUGAAGAUGCAAGAACAAUGGAAACAAGGAUGAGGAGAGCGCACUUGGAAUUCUUCAUAGUGCUUGGAACAAGCGCAGAGACGAUAUGCACACUAGCCAGUUUAUAUAGUGGGAGAAGAAUGGCUUCACCAGCGUGCCAACUAGGCAUGCGCAUUAGUCAACAGCGCUUUUAGGUGUUCCUACCGCAGAAUCCCGAUAUAAUCUAUAAGGUGAUUGUGAUUGUUUGUUGGAGCUUCCAUAGCUGCUUGCUCCAUUUGCUCUAGCUAGAGUGCUGUUCUUUUCCUCUAAGAAUAUCCUAGCCUAACAUUUUCCUGAUACUCCUCUGGAGAUCCUCCUUUUGCUCCUCCUGCUCGCUAGUGGCCAGAAACCAAGGAGCUAAAAUCUGGUUAAAACAACUGGAUAGAUUGACUGAGCAUCCCUAGAAUAUGCCUUAAGGGAAUCUUUAGGGAAUGUUUUAAUAUUUCCGCAUUCUCUAAUUAGCUCCAUACUUAGCCAAAAAAAUCUUAGACAUAUAAGUGCAUUCAAAUAUAACCAUAGAAGGUGUAUGAAAAUAUAAAAACCCAAUUUCAGUAAUUCUUGAUAGAGGAUCAAUAUAAUUGAGCUUGCAACCUGCAAAGUCUGGGGCUUGGAUUAAUCCAUCUAGCUUGCUUUCCCUUAGGAAUUGAAAAAAACAUUGUGAUUAAUAGAGAAACCCACCAAUUUAAAAUCCACCUUGUGGUGCUAAAAAGAAUCUUUCUAUGAGUACUUCAUAGCAUACUAUGACUAGGGAUAAUCAGACAAUCUAACAAAUUCCCAAAGCCAAAAGUUUACUGAUGGUUCAAGUACAUAGUAUGAUAUGCUGAGAUCAUGGGUAUCAAGAGGUAAACUACUUGAGUUUAAUGCCAAAGAGUCCAAACUUUUAUGCAAAAAUUUUGCUCAAUAAGUUAUUAUUCAUCUAACUAAAAUAGAUUAAACCAGUUAAGUAGGACCUCAGUUUCCCAAAGCAUACGUUUCGGGUUCGAUUCUGGUAUAGAUAAAAGGAAAAAGAAUUUACAUUUGAGACCUUGAUGAAAGCUUGUGGAUCUUGCAUUCCUGAAACAAUAUCGUGUAUCAAGUAUUCGUGCUUCUUUCCCUUUCAGGAGUCAUGGCGUUGCCGACGACGGUGCUCAAUCCGUUACUACUCCCUUCUUUCUCAGCUGCUUUGCUAGAAGCUCUCAAGAGAACCGGCGAGGAGCGUGUCGCUGCGUUUCACUUCCCAGGCCACGGCCGCGGCUCCUCAGCGCCCUCUUCGAUUUCCAAGCUUCUCGGAGCUCAACUCUUCCAGUUUGAUCUCCCGGAGCUGCCAGGCCUGGAUAACUUGCACUCGCCACAAGAAGCCAUAGCCGAAGCGCAGCAAAUGGCCGCCGUGCUUUUCGGAGCUGCAUGACAUGGAUCCCUGGAGUCUGAUAUUAGCGUCGCCUGGAGUGGAAUUGAGCACUCUGAUCUCUUCCUUUUCAUGCUGCCAAGGGUACUUAUGGUUCUUGCUCUACGUGUGGAAUUCAACCGGGGAUCAUGAGCUGCUGCAAGACCGAAGACGUUCUGAUCCUCCCCGGGAACGCCCACGUCUCGGCAUUCUCAGCCAUGGUUCUUGCUGGAGCAAUGCCUCACUAUGGUCUUCCUUGUUAUGACGAGCUCUGGGAUAUUUCUCAUGGUGUCUCCGCAGAGAGCAUCGAGUUGGCCAUUUUGGAUCUGCAGAAAAGAAAAGAAGUGGGAAUUGGAGCUGUUCUGAUUGUCUCGCCAACUUACUAUGGAGUGUGUAGCCCUGGAGGAGAUCGCAUAGGUGUAUCACGAGCAUGGUAUCCCGAUCAUAGUUGACGAGGCUCAUGGAGCGCACUUAAUGUUCCACUCGAGGUUUCCUGCAACGGCACUCGAGCAGGGAGCCGACGUUGUUGUCCAAUCCAAGGUACUCUCGUCUCUUAUGCAGUCCGGGAUGCUCCAUCUUGCAAGAGGCUGCAAGAUUGUAAGGCACGAGAGAAUUAGCAAGUGCCUUCAAACCUUGCAAAGCUCCAGUCCGAGUUACCUUCUCUUGGCCUCUCUCGAUGCCGCAAGAUGAAUUGUGCAGCAAGCGACGACCAUCCGUUGUUUGAUACAGCUCUGGAGCUGGCUUCCACAUCUCGGCGACGCCUGAAACAAAUUCCACAAGUUUUAGUCCUUGAUAGAGAAAAUGUGAGCUUGGCAGCCAAACCUGAUACCAUUUUUUAUGAGCUUAGGAUCACCAUUGGGUUGUGGGAGCUCGGAGUCACAGGAACUCUUGCCGAUGACUUUCUGUGCGAUAAAUGCGAGAUAGUGGCCGAGCUUCCUCUUCUGAACUCCAUAACUUUUGCUAUAGGAGCCAGCACUAGCAGCAGCGAGAUUGAGAAACUUAUCAAAGGCUUCAAGAGCUUUCGAGUUCUUCCAGAUUGACAAUAGGUCCUUAUUCCAGACCCUGAGUGCCUGAUUGUAAUAAAAUCAAAUGGAAAGCACUAGUUAGUCCAAGAGAUGCUUUGUUACAGAAACUUACUGCUGCAAAGCUGACGAAGCAGUGGGUCUAGCGAGUGCUGAGCUCGUGUGCCCGUAUCCACCUGGUAUUUCUGUGCUCUUUCCUCGUGAAGUGACAUCACAAAGAUCCAGCUGCAAAGAAAAAAACAAGAGUUUAGAUAAAUGCAAAGUCAUAGAAACUUCAUUACGUACCGAUCACUUCAAGGUUUUCAUUGUUUGAGCCUGAGUAUAUGUUUGCCAUGAGAGCAUAAGCUGUACCACCUUGAUCGUCAACCUUUGAUAGCGCAUCAAAGGCUACCUCUCCAAUCACCGCAUUUUUCCACUUGAAACAAGCCCCAAGCAAUGCCAUCCAUAUCCUGGAGCACACGUCUUCCACAGGCAGGUUUUGCACCAUCGCAAGCGCAUCCUCCAGCCGAUUAGCACGUCCAAGUAGAUCAACCAUGGAGAUUACGUGCUCCACACUCGGACUAAGUCCAUAGUCCGAGCACAUCGCGUGAAAGUAUUCCAUCCCCUUGUCGACCAAACCAGAGUGGCAGCAGACCGAUAGAACUGAAGAGAAUGUCACAGCGUCCGGCUUGGCAAACUCUUGCAUUCUCUCGAACAGAUCAAACACCGCGUCACUGUCCCCUUGACGGCUGUAUCCCGCGAUCAGUGCACUCCAAGACACUGCGUCCUUGUCUGGAAACCCAUCAAACACUCGCCGAGAUUCCACCAUGUCACCACACUUGCCGUAGAAACUUACGAGCGAGUUUGCCACCGCCGGAGAGCUCUCGGCCCCAGCUUCUUCGAUCAGACGAUGGAUUGCCUGUCCAGCCUGUAGUGCUCCAAGACCACCACAGGCCUUAAGUACCGAUGCAAAAGUCUGCGAGUCCGGUUUCAGUCCUUGGAGUCCCAUUUUCGAAAACUCCUGCAGGGCCAGCUCAUGGUUUCCACUCUCGGUGUAGGCUUCGAUCAUGAUGUUCCACGAAACCAAGUCUUUGAUCACCAUUUUGUCAAAAACUCGAGCCGCAUCAUCCAAACUUCCACACCAAGCGUAGAGACUCAUCAAGUUGUUUGCAGCGUAAACAUCUUCCAGCCCGUCGAGAAACCGGGAAUGAAAAGCCAAUGCCUUCUCCAGCGACGCCACUUUCAAGGGCCUUCCAUCCACAAGCCGAGUCUCUUCCUUCUCGGCCAUAUCCAAGCAUGCCUGGAGAACGGCCACCAAAGUUCUGGAGCUGACGACCACGUCUAACGCUUGCAUGGCCGUGAAUAACUCAAGAGCUCGCUCGGCCUCGCCACCUUUUGCAUAUCCCAUGAUCAAAACAUUCCAGGAGACCGAAUCCCGCUCUAUCAUCCCGUCGAAAACUCGCCGGCAAUCCAGCAAUCUCCCCCACUUUGCAUACAUAUCCAUCAGACUGUUGGAGACGAAAACGCUGGACGAAAUCCCUGUCCCUGUUCUUGCAAACUUCGAGUAAAUCUCUCCGCCCCUGUCCAGCCAUCCCAGAUUCGUGCAAGCGUCGAGCACGGCCACCAGAGUCCGAGCAUUCGCCUCCACUCCAUCUUCCAAAAGCAUAAGCUCAAAGAGCUCCAAGGCUAGCUCGUCUUCCCCUCCUUGCGAGCAAGCGCUGAUCAUGGCACUCCACAAAACCACGUCCUUUGUUCCCAACUUGGCAGCCUGGAAAAUCUCUAGAGCUUCUCUCACGGUGCCACACUUUCCAUAGAAAUCCACCAGGGCGCUGGCCACGAACCUGUCCACCAAGAAUCCACCACUCUGGAGCUGGGAAUGAAGAGCCAAGCCUCUCUUGAGGCUCCUGAGCUUGAUGAUCUUCCCCUGUAAAUCUCUCACCCCCUUUUCUCUAGCGGCCAGCGAAGAACACGCCUGGAGAGCCGCGACGAAGCUCCGGCCGUUUGGAUCCAACCCCUCGGCAUGGAGCCGCCCAAAGAACUGGAGCGCGAGCUCCGGCUGGCCGCACCGCGCGUAGCCGCCGAUGACGCAGUUCCACGACGCCGCGGUGCGCCGAUCCAUGGAAUCGAAAAUGCGGCGUGCCUCAUCCAUCCUGCCCCGUUUCGCAAAUCCAUCAAUGAUUGCGUUGAUCAAGCCGAUGUUCUUACCGGAGAGGAGAUCGCGCUCGCGGCCGUCGCCGUCCAGCUGGAUUGGAGCCAUUUCUCGUAGCGCGACAUUGAUUUGCCCAAUCAUCUGAUUUUAGGGUUCUUGAGGUUUAGAGACGAAGAACAAAUCCUGACCGUUAAAAAUAAUCGUAGUAAAAUCUGGGCAGAUGUGGUGGCGCUCUGGCGGCUAUCUGGCGGUGGAGGAGCGGCGCUGUGGAAAAUUUUCAUUCAGAGAACUUAUAUAACUCAUGACCAUUUUUGGGUUCGUUUUCUUUCUUUUACAGGAAAAUAAAAAUAGUAAGAACAAUAGGAGGAUAAUGAAAAAAACUGUGCUUGCUCUAUGCAAACUCACUGGAUGCCGAGAGAGCGUUCUUGUGAGAUUUGAUCAGGCCUCCCAAAACCUGGCCGUGUUUUCGAUACGGUCCUGGAUCUGCCAAUCUACGAUCCUUGCCUGGGUACAUUUACAGACGAGCAGAGCGACGGGAAUGAGCUACCAGUUGUUCUCCUCACUUCUUCAUUCGCGAGAAAAUCUCGAACAAAACUCUCCUGUCGAUUUUCCUUCCUUGGCCGAGUGGUUUAAUCCACCACCGAGCGAACUCCCCACACCCAGAGCGCCACUAUCGUCCUUGGAUCCCUCCACGCGGUGGUCGUCAAGUAUUUUGGGAAGAGGAGCGCCGCCCCGAUCCAUCUAGAUCCCGUCCUCUUACCUCUAAAAUCGGGGAAGCGCUUCUGCCAAGGACGCGAGAAUGCGGGUCGACCCGGGAUUUAACAGAGUGCCAUGGAUGCCAUAUGGUUCAAAUAGAUGGUAUGAUAUAUUGUUAUUGGAACCCGGUUGCUGAGAUAAUGGCUACCAGGUAAGUGUAGAGGUAAACCGGUAUAGAAGACCCGGGUUCGAUGCCGAAGGGUCCAAUCAACAGGGACUUUUAUGCAAAAAUCUUGCUCUUUAAGUAGCCCUUGUUCUGGUUCGCUAGCUCACUAAAAGAACUUAGACCAGUCAUUUAGGACAUCGGUUUCCCAGAGCAUGCGUUUCGGGUUCGAUUCUUGCCAAUGUUAUCUGCAAGGCAAAGAAUAUUCGCAUGUUAACAUCAAACCAAAAAUGUUUAUAAUUCUUAAACUCAAAUUAGGAUUUAAGAAAACAUCAUUUAAUAUUAUUUAUUGUAAAAUAAUUAGAAAUGAAAGUUAAAAGAGAGCUUUCACUUUAUUCCCAUCAUUUUACCGCUCUCUAUUCUAUUUGGAUUGUUCUUGGCUGUGGCUUGGGGAUCUUUGGAAUUGUGACAGUGAGGACACCGUGUUCUACUGUAGCUUUGAUCGCCUCCACAUUUGCACUCUCGGGCAGCCGGAAUUUCCGCAAGAAGCUGCCGUGGCUGCGCUCCACGCGGUGCCACUUAUCGCUCUUGUCAGACUCGUGCUUCUUCCUCUCGCCACUGAUCUGGAGAGUGCGGCCGUCCUCCACGCUGAUCUUCACUUCCUCUCUACUCACACCCGGGAGAUCGGCCUUGAAGAUGUGUGCCUCGGGUGUCUCGAGCCAAUCCACGCGAGUGUUGGCGACGGCGCUGCUGUUGUCACAAGAAAAGAUGGACGAGAUGUCCUCAAAGGGAUCCAAGAUGUUUGAACCGUAGAAAUACAAAGCCAUGUGGGCAAGAGAUUUGCUGGGUGAAUGCUAGAAACAAAUAGACUUGAUCAAUGCUAGAUGUGAGCGAUUGCUCCUCUUUUAUACACUGGGAUGACACCUCUAGGACACUCUAGAGUGUUCCCACAUAUUCUAGAGGACUCUAGCAUAUCUAUACCCUCAAACUCUAGUUAGCUCCAUACUUGACCAAAAAAAUCUUGGACAUUUAAGUGAGGUGUAUAAUAUACUUGGGGAAAAGUCCCCAUGCAAAAUCCCAAUUUGAAAUAUUCUCGAUAGAGGAUCAAGAGUUAAUAUAAUUGAGUUUGCAACCUGCAAAGCCCUGGGGUUUGGACCAAUCCAGCUAGCUUCUUUCAAGAAUUGCUCAUCCCCUAGGAAUUAAAAAACAUAUUGUGAUUAAUAUUGAAAACCUUGUGGUGCUAAAAAUGUUAAAACAAGAAUCUUCUUAUGAGUCCUUCAGGGAUAAUCAAACGAUCUAACAAAUUCCCAAAGACAAAAGUUUAUUAAUGGUUCAAGUACAUAGUGAGAUCAUAACUAUCAAAUAAGUGUAGGUUUGAUGCCAACAAGGACUUUUAUGCAAAAAUUUUGCUCAAUAAGUUAUUAUUCACAUAGCUUAGAGGCGUUUCCCAAAGCACACGUUUCAGGUUCGAUUCUACUAUGGACAAAAGUUAAAAAAAUUUAAAACAAACUUGACCUUGGAGCAGCAACGGUUCCAAUGUUUGACAUUUUUGUGUCGCUGGAUGAAAGGUCUUCGGUAUAGACAGUCCGGUCCUGGAUCUGCCAAUCUACGAUCCUUGCCUGGGUACAUUUACAGACAAGCAGAGCGACGGGAAUGAGCCACCAGUUGUUCUCCUCCCUGCUUCAUUCAUAGAAACAGCGAAUGAGCGUGAGAAAAUCUCGAACAAAACUCUCUGAGAGAUCUACUCUAUUAAUUUUUAUUAAUAAUCCACAGUGUUCUUCGUUCGAGUGGUUUAAUCCACCACCGAGUGAACUCCACACACCCAGAGCGCCACUAUCGUCCUUGGAUCCCACCACGUGGUGGUCGUCAAGUAUUUUGGGAAGAGGAGCACCGCCCCGAUCCAUCUAGAUCCCGUCCUCAUACCUCUAAAAUCGGGGAAGCGCUUCUGCCAAGGACGAAA
rnacentral:lncRNA from 1 species